UACGUAGGGGGCAAGCGUUGUCCGGAAUCAUUGGGCGUAAAGCGCGCGUAGGCGGCCCGAUCAGUCCGCUGUAAAAGUCCAGGGCUCAACCCUGGAAAGCCGGUGGAUACUGUCGGGCUAGAGUCCGGAAGAGUCGAGUGGAAUUCCUGGUGUAGCGGUGGAAUGCGCAGAUAUCAGGAGGAACACCAGUGGCGAAGGCGACUACCUGGCCUGUUUCUUGACGCUGAGGCGCGAAAGCUAGGGGAGCAAACGGG
rnacentral:rRNA from 1 species